rnacentral:rRNA from 1 species
UACGGAGGAUCCGAGCGUUAUCCGGAUUUAUUGGGUUUAAAGGGUGCGUAGGCGGCCUAUUAAGUCAGGGGUGAAAGACGGUAGCUUAACUAUCGCAGUGCCUUUGAUACUGAUAGGCUUGAAUGUACUUGAGGUAGGCGGAAUGUGACAAGUAGCGGUGAAAUGCAUAGAUAUGUCACAGAACACCAAUUGCGAAGGCAGCUUGCUACCCGAAUAUUGACACUGAGGCACGAAAGCGUGGGGAUCAAACAGG